UCGCAGCUACCAUGCAAGUCGAGCGAACCUUCGGGUUAGCGGCGGACGGGUGAGUAACGCGUGGGAACGUACCCUCUUCUGCGGGAUAGCCACUGGAAACGGUGAGUAAUACCGCAUACGCCCUUCGGGGGAAAGAUUUAUCGGAGGAGGAUCGGCCCGCGUUGGAUUAGGUAGUUGGUGGGGUAAUGGCCUACCAAGCCUACGAUCCAUAGCUGGUUUUAGAGGAUGAUCAGCCACACUGGGACUGAGACACGGCCCAGACUCCUACGGGAGGCAGCAGUGGGGAAUCUUAGACAAUGGGCGCAAGCCUGAUCUAGCCAUGCCGCGUGAGUGACGAAGGCCUUAGGGUCGUAAAGCUCUUUCGCCAGAGAUGAUAAUGACAGUAUCUGGUAAAGAAACCCCGGCUAACUCCGUGCCAGCAGCCGCGGUAAUACGGAGGGGGUUAGCGUUGUUCGGAAUUACUGGGCGUAAAGCGCACGUAGGCGGAUUGGAAAGUUGGGGGUGAAAUCCCAGGGCUCAACCCUGGAACUGCCUCCAAAACUCCCAGUCUGGAGUUCGAGAGAGGUGAGUGGAAUUCCGAGUGUAGAGGUGAAAUUCGUAGAUAUUCGGAGGAACACCAGUGGCGAAGGCGGCUCACUGGCUCGAUACUGACGCUGAGGU
rnacentral:rRNA from 1 species